GGGGAAUCUUCCGCAAUGGGCGAAAGCCUGACGGAGCAAUACCGCGUGAGGGAGGAAGGCUCUUGGGUUGUAAACCUCUUUUCUCAAGGAAGAAAAAAAUGACGGUACUUGAGGAAUAAGCAUCGGCUAACUCCGUGCCAGCAGCCGCGGUAAUACGGAGGAUGCAAGCGUUAUCCGGAAUGAUUGGGCGUAAAGCGUCCGCAGGUGGCUGUGUAAGUCUGCUGUUAAAUAGUGAGGCUCAACCUCAUAAAGGCAGUGGAAACUACACGGCUAGAGUGCGUUCGGGGCAGAGGGAAUUCCUGGUGUAGCGGUGAAAUGCGUAGAGAUCAGGAAGAACACCGGUGGCGAAAGCGCUCUGCUAGGCCGCAACUGACACUGAGGGACGAAAGCUAGGGGAGCGAAAGGGAUUAGAUACCCCUG
rnacentral:rRNA from 1 species